rnacentral:tRNA from 2 species
GACAGUUUAGCAAAGUGGUUACUGCGAUUGAUUCGAAAUCAAUUCCUCUUCGAGGGCACAGGUUCGAAUCCUGUAACUGUCG